CCCCUGAGAAUUUUUUCAGGAACCGCCACUGGUAGGCAGCUACUUGCUGGUGAGAGGGAAAGAUGCAAAACUAUGAAAAUACAGUCCAGAGAGAUUAAAGCAUUGAAAGACAAAGUUGACAAGUCAGCAAAACAGAGGGACAAGCUGAGAAAGCAACUUGAACUCUGAAAGCGUAUUCUAAAUAAGACACAAGACUCACCACGGACCCAAGCAGAGAUGAUGCUUCAAGGGAGCAAACUCAACUUGCAUCACAGCAUCCAAAACUGGCUUUUCCAGCAAAGCAUUCUCAAGAAGUAUCGCCUUAUCCAUCGGGUUAAUGAGUUUGGAUUGACUUACAAAACAAUAUGAGAGAAGAUACAAUAACAAAGGGAUCCCAGGUGCCUCCAGACCAUCUCCUUAAGUGUUCAUAUGUUUUUGGAAAACAAUGCAAGGAUAACGACAGACAAGCAAGGCACCAUCACCAGGAAAAAAGUUAAACGUCAAAGAAUGAUUCUGACAGACACUAUGCAAAACCCUAACAUUAGACUUAGUUAUUCAUCCUUUUGUGCAUUGCGUCUAUUAAACAUCACAUCUAUCUUGUACGUCGCUUUGGAUAAAAGCGUCUGCUAAAUUACCAAAUUACAUCUUUAGGAGCCUCAGAUCGAAAGACAUGUCAAUGUCAGUACCAUGAGACUGCACCAUUGAUGCUUCAGGUCCUGAAGUCAAUCAAUGCUGUGGCAAUUGAAGAGACUUGUGUGUUCAUCUCCAGCAAGUGAACCUUAUCUUUUACGUACCUGUGCUGGAUUUCUAUACAAAUAUUCAGGUCUUUCUGCAGAGCAAGGGAAAACACAGGUGUGGUGUGGUAGCAGUGGAGAUGUAUCGAGGAGCGAACAGAACAUGGAGCUCACUGUCACACCAUAUUUGGGAAACACACAGGCACUCAAUAAAAUAAAACCUCAUUUAGCAAAGAUUUAUAUAUAGGUUUUUAAAAUAUUAAAAAUAAUUUUUAGAGAAUCAAAACCUGUUUUGUCUCUGAUCUCAAGAAUCACUGAAAGUUGUGUCUAAACGGUUCUUAUAAAUUCAUAUAAGAAUUUCUGGCUGGUAGGCUCAGGCUCUUGUUAACUGUCGUUCGAGCUUUACUUGAAACUGGACGUUUUAGAAAUCACUGUAUGUCCUUAACUGCUCAUUGUAUGACAGAAAUAUAGCUAGCUGAAUAUCCAUAAGUGCUAAUUGUAUAACAAAAAGAUAGCUGGCUGAAUCACUGAAUGCACAAAAGAAAAGGAACUCGCAUCUAACGUUACCGGCGUGCUCAAAAAUGAAUUUAUUACAAAACCAAACAUAGUAGCAUAGCUUUUUGGUUAGAGUCCAUGUCUGAAUAUAGUGAGUUAUUUUUCCCUGUUUCAAUGUAGUUCACCAUGGAUCUGGAAGAAAACCCAUCAUUGUAGUGGGGCUCUACCACACAUUUGACAAAGAACAUGUUGUACCAGCCAGUAGCAACUAUGAUGAAUCUACAUUCAUAGUAAAUUGUCUGUUCUAUGAAGACAGUGGAAUUCUCAACUGUGAUCAGAAUACCGAAGCAAUCAAUCAAACAUCAAAGAAACUAAAGGCAUUCAAGAAAAAGAACAAGAGUCUUAACGAGUCCAAAACACAAAUAAAGAAAAAAGGGUUCAAGGGUUCUCGUGAAAAGGAGUCCAAUACAACAGAAGAGAGCACUGAGAAGGUGGAGGAAGUCAACCCAAAUACUGCAAACACAAGGGGGGCCCCAAAGCAACAAAGAAGAAAAAAUACCAAAAUGUGUUCAAUCUUAUAAUGCUAUCUUAGCUUUAGCAUAAGAAAGUGCACUGUACAUACAAAAUGUUGUUUUUGCUACUAUGAUGUAGUUGGGAGCAAUGAGACAGUUGUGGUCUCGGGGCAGGAGUGGUCCAGUGUAGGGUUUGAUCAGAGGAAGAGGGGUCUGACUCUUCUGCCGCGCUACUUCCAGAAGAAACUGCAAGGGUAGAAAGGUCAGGGGUUUUGAGAGUGUAUUGUAAUGGUACAAUCUAGUCUUAUAUAAAAGACACUUGCUCUGUAUUCAUGUUACAAUAAAUAUUUGUUCUGUAUAACAUUAUUCUAA